GACGUACGCUGGCGGCGCGCUUAACACAUGCAAGUCGAACGGAAAGGCCUGCUUUCCCUUGUGGAUUGCGGGUACUCGAGUGGCGAACGGGUGAGUAACACGUGAGUGAUCUGCCCCCAACUUGGGUAUAAGCCUGGGAAACUGGGUCUAAUUCCCGAUAGGACUGCAGGGUGGUGCCUGUGGUGGAAAACGAUUUUCUAGUGGUUGGGGAUGAGCUCGCGGCCUAUCAGCUUGUUGGUGGGGUAAUGGCCUACCAAGGCGGCGACGGGUAGCCGGCCUGAGAGGGUGGACGGCCACAUUGGGACUGAGAUACGGCCCAGACUCCUACGGGAGGCAGCAGUGGGGAAUAUUGCACAAUGGGCGGAAGCCUGAUGCAGCGACGCCGCGUGGGGGAUGACGGCCUUCGGGUUGUAAACUCCUUUCGACCGCGAGGAAGCCACCUGGUUGGAAGGGUGGUGACGGUAGUGGUAGAAGAAGCACCGGCUAACUACGUG
rnacentral:rRNA from 1 species